GGUUAAGCGACUAAGCGUACACGGUGGAUGCCCUGGCAGUCAGAGGCGAUGAAGGGCGUGCUAAUCUGCGAUAAGCGCCGGUAAGGUGAUAUGAACCGUUAUAACCGGCGAUACCCGAAUGGGGAAACCCAGUGUGACUCGUCACACUAUCAUUAACUGAAUCCAUAGGUUAAUGAGGCGAACCGGGGGAACUGAAACAUCUAAGUACCCCGAGGAAAAGAAAUCAACCGAGAUUCCCCCAGUAGCGGCGAGCGAACGGGGAGGAGCCCAGAGCCUGAAUCAGCAUGUGUGUUAGUGGAAGCGUCUGGAAAGGCGCGCGAUACAGGGUGACAGCCCCGUACACAAAAGCGCAUGUGCUGUGAGCUCGAUGAGUAGGGCGGGACACGUGGUAUCCUGUCUGAAUAUGGGGGGACCAUCCUCCAAGGCUAAAUACUCCUGACUGACCGAUAGUGAACCAGUACCGUGAGGGAAAGGCGAAAAGAACCCCGGCGAGGGGAGUGAAAAAGAACCUGAAACCGUGUACGUACAAGCAGUGGGAGCCCCACCACCAAAGCAUUCUCUGGUGUUGAAGGCCCUGCAAAGCAGCAUCGCGGUGGCGGAGCGUCGUUUGCGACGCCCAACACACAAAACAAGCGGUGAGUGCUUUGGGGUGGGGUGACUGCGUACCUUUUGUAUAAUGGGUCAGCGACUUAUAUUCUGUAGCAAGGUUAACCGAAUAGGGGAGCCGGAGGGAAACCGAGUCUUAAUUGGGCGUUAAGUUGCAGGGUAUAGACCCGAAACCCGGUGAUCUAGCCAUGGGCAGGUUGAAGGUUGGGUAACACUAACUGGAGGACCGAACCGACUAAUGUUGAAAAAUUAGCGGAUGACCUGUGGCUGGGGGUGAAAGGCCAAUCAAACCGGGAGAUAGCUGGUUCUCCCCGAAAGCUAUUUAGGUAGCGCCUCGUGAAUUCAUCUCCGGGGGUAGAGCACUGUUUCGGCUAGGGGGCCAUCCCGGCUUACCAACCCGAUGCAAACUGCGAAUACCGGAGAAUGUUAUCACGGGAGACACACGGCGGGUGCUAACGUCCGUCGUGAAGAGGGAAACAACCCAGACCGCCAGCUAAGGUCCCAAAGUCAUGGUUAAGUGGGAAACGAUGUGGGAAGGCCCAGACAGCCAGGAUGUUGGCUUAGAAGCAGCCAUCAUUUAAAGAAAGCGUAAUAGCUCACUGGUCGAGUCGGCCUGCGCGGAAGAUGUAACGGGGCUAAACCAUGCACCGAAGCUGCGGCAGCGAACGUAUCACUUAAAGCGAUUCAGCGGGUUACGAUUGACGGAGCGAAGCGACGUCAAAGCGUAUACAAAGUCGAGUCGGUUUAAGGAUACGUUCGUUGGGUAGGGGAGCGUUCUGUAAGCCUGUGAAGGUGGCCUGUGAGGGUUGCUGGAGGUAUCAGAAGUGCGAAUGCUGACAUAAGUAACGAUAAAGCGGGUGAAAAGCCCGCUCGCCGGAAGACCAAGGGUUCCUGUCCAACGUUAAUCGGGGCAGGGUGAGUCGACCCCUAAGGCGAGGCCGAAAGGCGUAGUCGAUGGGAAACGGGUUAAUAUUCCCGUACUUGGUGUUACUGCGAAGGGGGGACGGAGAAGGCUAUGUUGGCCGGGCGACGGUUGUCCCGGUUUAAGCGUGUAGGUGUGUGUUCCAGGUAAAUCCGGUUCACUUUAACACUGAGGCGUGAUGACGAGGCACUACGGUGCUGAAGCAACAAAUGCCCUGCUUCCAGGAAAAGCCUCUAAGCAUCAGGUAACAUCAAAUCGUACCCCAAACCGACACAGGUGGUCAGGUAGAGAAUACCAAGGCGCUUGAGAGAACUCGGGUGAAGGAACUAGGCAAAAUGGUGCCGUAACUUCGGGAGAAGGCACGCUGACAUGUAGGUGAAGUGAUUUACUCAUGGAGCUGAAGUCAGUCGAAGAUACCAGCUGGCUGCAACUGUUUAUUAAAAACACAGCACUGUGCAAACACGAAAGUGGACGUAUACGGUGUGACGCCUGCCCGGUGCCGGAAGGUUAAUUGAUGGGGUCAGCGCAAGCGAAGCUCCUGAUCGAAGCCCCGGUAAACGGCGGCCGUAACUAUAACGGUCCUAAGGUAGCGAAAUUCCUUGUCGGGUAAGUUCCGACCUGCACGAAUGGCGUAAUGAUGGCCAGGCUGUCUCCACCCGAGACUCAGUGAAAUUGAACUCGCUGUGAAGAUGCAGUGUACCCGCGGCAAGACGGAAAGACCCCGUGAACCUUUACUAUAGCUUGACACUGAACAUUGAGCCUUGAUGUGUAGGAUAGGUGGGAGGCUUUGAAGUGUGGACGCCAGUCUGCAUGGAGCCGACCUUGAAAUACCACCCUUUAAUGUUUGAUGUUCUAACGUGGACCCGUGAUCCGGGUUGCGGACAGUGUCUGGUGGGUAGUUUGACUGGGGCGGUCUCCUCCUAAAGAGUAACGGAGGAGCACGAAGGUUGGCUAAUCCUGGUCGGACAUCAGGAGGUUAGUGCAAUGGCAUAAGCCAGCUUGACUGCGAGCGUGACGGCGCGAGCAGGUGCGAAAGCAGGUCAUAGUGAUCCGGUGGUUCUGAAUGGAAGGGCCAUCGCUCAACGGAUAAAAGGUACUCCGGGGAUAACAGGCUGAUACCGCCCAAGAGUUCAUAUCGACGGCGGUGUUUGGCACCUCGAUGUCGGCUCAUCACAUCCUGGGGCUGAAGUAGGUCCCAAGGGUAUGGCUGUUCGCCAUUUAAAGUGGUACGCGAGCUGGGUUUAGAACGUCGUGAGACAGUUCGGUCCCUAUCUGCCGUGGGCGCUGGAGAACUGAGGGGGGCUGCUCCUAGUACGAGAGGACCGGAGUGGACGCAUCACUGGUGUUCGGGUUGUCAUGCCAAUGGCACUGCCCGGUAGCUAAAUGCGGAAGAGAUAAGUGCUGAAAGCAUCUAAGCACGAAACUUGCCCCGAGAUGAGUUCUCCCUGAGACUUAAAGUCUCCUGAAGGAACGUUGAAGACGACGACGUUGAUAGGCCGGGUGUGUAAGCGCAGCGAUGCGUUGAGCUAACCGGUACUAAUGAACCGUGAGGCUUAACCUU
rnacentral:rRNA from 1 species